AACACCGGCGGCCCGAGUGGUGAUCGUGAUUAUUGGGUCUAAAGGGUCCGUAGCCGGUUUGGUCAGUCCUCCGGGAAAUCUGAUAGCUCAACUAUUAGGCUUUCGGGGGAUACUGCCAGACUUGGAACCGGGAGAGGUAAGAGGUACUACAGGGGUAGGAGUGAAAUCUUGUAAUCCCUGUGGGACCACCUGUGGCGAAGGCGUCUUACCAGAACGGGUUCGACGGUGAGGGACGAAAGCUGGGGGCACGAACCGGAUUAGAUACCCGGGUAGUCCCAGCCGUAAACGAUGCUCGCUAGGUGUCAGGCAUGGCGCGACCGUGUCUGGUGCCGCAGGGAAGCCGUGAAGCGAGCCACCUGGGAAGUACGGCCGCAAGGCUGAAACUUAAAGGAAUUGGCGGGGGAGCACAACAACGGGUGGAAGCCUGCGGUUUAAUUGGACUCAACGCCGGACAACUCACCGGGGGCGACAGCAAUAUGUAGGCCAAGCUGAAGACUUUGCCUGAAUCGCUGAGAAGAGGUGCAUGG
rnacentral:rRNA from 1 species